AUUCCCGUUCCCACCCAACAAUUCCAGGUUCAUUCCCGUUCCCACCCAACAAUUCCAGGUUCAUUCCCGUUCCCACCCAACAAUUCCAGGUUCAUUCCCGUUCCCACCCAACAAUUCCAGGUUCAUUCCCGUUCCCACCCAACAAUUCCAGGUUCAUUCCCGUUCCCACCCAACAAUUCCAGGUUCAUUCCCGUUCCCACCCAACAAUUCCAGGUUCAUUCCCGUUCCCACCCAACAAUUCCAGGUUCAUUCCCGUUCCCACCCAACAAUUCCAGGUUCAUUCCCGUUCCCACCCAACAAUUCCAGGUUCAUUCCCGUUCCCACCCAACAAUUCCAGGUUCAUUCCCGUUCCCACCCAACAAUUCCAGGUUCAUUCCCGUUC